GUCACGCGCCGAGCGGGUUCCGGGUGCGGGCGGUGCGCGCAGGUGGGGCGGGGCGGGAGAGCGGGGGGGGCACAGAGCGCGGCCGUGCGGGGCGGGGGGGGGCGCGAGGGGCGGGCAGUGCGCGGGGUGAGGGGGGGGUCCGGCACACGGAGGGGUGCGGUGCGGUGCGGUGCUCGGAGAGGGCCCCACGCAGGGAGGGCGCCCCGGGGUCGCGGUGACGGCACCCACAGACGGCCCUUCCCGCUGCGUCCGCGUGGCUGAGCGCUGCGUAACCGCCCCCCCCCCCGGCGCACUGCACGCCGUCAUUACCGGGGCCGCCUCAGCCCCGCCGCCGUCCCGCCGCUCCAUCCGUCCCCAUGGUGGGAGCGGCCGUCGCCGCACCGCCGCAGCCGCAGCUAUGAGCAACGCGACGGCUCCCAGCGCUCCCGGCGCGGCGGGCGAUUCGUUGGUGGGCUCCGUGCUCGGCCCCUUCGUGCUGCUCACACUGCUGGGCGCCGUCGUGGCUGCGGUGAUGUACGUCCAGAAGAAGCGGAGGUCGGAGCGCCUGCGGCACCGCCUGCUGCCCAUGUACAGCUACGACCCCGCCGAGGAGCUGCAGGAGUCUGAGCACGAGCUGCUGGUGGAGGCGGAGGAGCACCAGGUGGGUCCCAACUGGGGGUCCCGUGGGGGCUGGAGGGCCUGAGGCUGCCCCACAGCGGGGCCGGGCCCCACAGCUCUCCCCGGCAGCGGCUGCACAGCACCAGGAGCAGCGUCAGUGGCCCCACAAGCACUGAUGGUAAUGGGGCAUCUGCCACCUUCCUGCACAUUUCUGCUGCUGUUUUUGUUGAAACCACCCUAAAAACCCCAUAAAUGCACUGGGGAUGGGGUGGGAAAUGCACUGAGGCUGUGAGACAGGUGCAGCCCCACGGACUCCUGUAGGCCCUAUAUGGGGUUUAUGGGGCUGGGACACCCCAGGCUCCCCAAGUGGGGGCAAAUAAACGUUUCUCUGUAAUAA